rnacentral:rRNA from 1 species
AUUGAACGCUGGCGGCAUGCCUUACACAUGCAAGUCGAACGGCAGCACGGGUGCUUGCACCUGGUGGCGAGUGGCGAACGGGUGAGUAAUACAUCGGAACAUGUCCUGUAGGGGGGGAUAGCCCGGCGAAAGCCGGAUUAAUACCGCAUACGAUCUACGGAUGAAAGCGGGGGACCUUCGGGCCUCGCGCUAUAGGGUUGGCCGAUGGCUGAUUAGCUAGUUGGUGGGGUAAAGGCCAACCAAGGCGACGAUCAGUAGCUGGUCUGAGAGGACGACCAGCCACACUGGGACUGAGACACGGCCCAGACUCCUACGGGAGGCAGCAGUGGGGAAUUUUGGACAAUGGGCGAAAGCCUGAUCCAGCAAUGCCGCGUGUGUGAAGAAGGCCUUCGGGUUGUAAAGCACUUUUGUCCGGAAAGAAAUCCUUGGCCCUAAUACGGUCGGGGGAUGACGGUACCGGAAGAAUAAGCACCGGCUAACUACGUG